rnacentral:rRNA from 1 species
CCAGAGGACCCCUAACUCUGUUUUUAUAAUGUUUUUCUGAGUAAACAAGCAAAUAAAUUAAAACUUUCAACAACGGAUCUCUUGGCUCUGGCAUCGAUGAAGAACGCAGCGAAAUGCGAUAAGUAAUGUGAAUUGCAGAAUUCAGUGAAUCAUCGAAUCUUUGAACGCACAUUGCGCCCGCCAGUAUUCUGGCGGGCAUGCCUGUUCGAGCGUCAUUACAACCCUCAGGCCCCCGGGCCUGGCGUUGGGGAUCGGCAGAAGCCCCCUGUGGGCACACGCCGUCCCUCAAAUACAGUGGCGGUCCCGCCGCAGCUUCCAUUGCGUAGUAGCUAACACCUCGCAACUGGAGAGCGGCGCGGCCAUGCCGUAAAACACCCAACUUCUGAAUGUUGACCUCGAAUCAGGUAGGAAUACCCGCCUGAACUUAAGCAUAUCA